rnacentral:rRNA from 1 species
GACGAACGCUGGCGGCGUGCCUAAUACAUGCAAGUAGAACGCUGAAGGAGGAGCUUGCUUCUCUGGAUGAGUUGCGAACGGGUGAGUAACGCGUAGGUAACCUGCCUGGUAGCGGGGGAUAACUAUUGGAAACGAUAGCUAAUACCGCAUAAUAGCAGUUGUUGCAUGACAACUGUUUGAAAGGUGCAAUUGCACCACUACCAGAUGGACCUGCGUUGUAUUAGCUAGUUGGUGGGGUAACGGCUCACCAAGGCGACGAUACAUAGCUGACCUGAGAGGGUGAUCGGCCACACUGGGACUGAGACACGGCCCAGACUUCUACGGGAGGCAGCAGUAGGGAAUCUUCGGCAAUGGACGGAAGUCUGACCGAGCAACGCCGCGUGAGUGAAGAAGGGUUUCGGAUCGUAAAGCUCUGUUGUAAGAGAAGAACGAGUGUGAGAGUGGAAAGUUCACACUGUGACGGUAUCUUACCAGAAAGGGACGGCUAACUACGUG